AGCUGCGUCCGAAGUUAUGGGUUUAAUUUAUUUCUACGCAAGGGUUAGAUCAGAUCCUCUCCUCGCCCUUCUUCUUCACUUCUUCUCCACCACACCAUCCCGCACGAGGUCACACUCCUCUCGUAGCCGCUCGCUCACCGCACGCCGUCCAGCCACCGCCUUCUCCAUUCUCCCACACUAUUGGCGUACGAAGCCGUCUAGAUCUGACGCAGUCUAACGCCGCAGCCCUACGCGCCGUCCAGAUCUGACGCCGUCCAACCCUCUAGCCGCGCCAUCGCCGUCCACCUCCUCCACGUGUGUGGGUUCAACCGCCGCCGCUCCUCGCCGCCGUCGCCUUUCCCCCGCUCCUCGCCGGUCGCCCGUCUCAGAACCGAUUGCUUGCAAUGAACUACAUACAUGUAGGAACUGAUGAUAAAUUAUAUGAGGCUCACAGGGACUGGGGCAGACACUUCAUGCGAUUGUUUCCACAAUAUACUUCAUGGGACAAUCCAAAAGACCCAAAAAAACUACUGAUUAUUGGAUAUGUGUCUCCUGAUUAGUUCACUCAUUCUGUGUCAUAUUUUAUUGAGGCUCCCCUUACCUAUCAUGACUAUGCAAAUUAUGAAUUGGUCAUCUAUUCAACUGUUGUUAAGGCAGAUGCAAAAACCAACAAAUUUAGAGAUAGAGUUUUGAAAAAGGGUGGGGUUUGGAGAGAUAUCUAUGGGAUUGAUGAGAAAAAAAUUGCUAGCAUGGUCAGAGAAGAUAAGGUUGACAUCUUGGUAGAACUCACUGGUCAUACUGCAAACAAUAAGCUGGGAAUGAUGGCAUGUCGACCUGCCCCUGUUUAGAUUGCAAAAACUUGGGCUCCAGAUAACGAUGAAAUUAUUGGCAGCAUAUGGAAGGUUUUCUCAGCAUGGUUCGACAGGAAAGAAGAAAGAGAGAAUGCAGAAAAGUAUAGCUUAGAACCGACCAAUGAGGAAAUUCAGGAGAACAAUGUUUUGCAGCAAA